rnacentral:misc_RNA from 1 species
GAUGAAGAACGUAGUGAAAUGCGAUAAGUAAUGUGAAUUGCAGAGUUCAGUGAAUCAUCGAAUCUUUGAACGCACAUUGCGCCCGCCAGUAUUCUGGCGGGCAUGCCUGUCUGAGCGUCGUUUCGACCCUCGCGCCCGGCUUCUGUCGGGGGCGGUGUUGGGGAUCGGCCACACCCUUCAGUGGGAGGCCGGCCCCUAAAUUCAGUGGCGACCACGCUGUAGCCUCCCCUGCGUAGUACUAAAACCACCUCGCAGGCGGAGAGCGGUGCGGCCCGCCGUAAAACCCCCCAACUUUUACAAGGUCGACCUCAGAUCAGGUAGGAAUACCCGCUGAACUUAAGCAUAUCAAUAAGCGGAGGA